AUAUUCUGGUGUCUCUUUAGAUCAUGUAAAUCUUUUGCCUUUUUCUAAAGACUUCUGUAGAGAGGAACAACUCUGAGUCUUUUUUUUGGAGGACGGGAUUAGGAUUUUUUU